rnacentral:rRNA from 1 species
ACGGAGGGUGCAAGCGUUGUCCGGAUUUAUUGGGUUUAAAGGGUGCGUAGGCGGUUUAUUAAGUCAGUGGUGAAAGACGGUCGCUCAACGAUUGCAGUGCCAUUGAUACUGGUAGACUUGAGUGGGAUUGAGGUAGCUGGAAUGGAUAGUGUAGCGGUGAAAUGCAUAGAUAUUAUCCAGAACACCAAUUGCGUAGGCAAGUUACUAAGUCUCAACUGACGCUGAGGCACGAAAGUGUGGGUAUCAAACAGGAUUAGAUACCCUGGUAGUCCACACUGUAAACGAUGAUAACUAACUGUUGGCUUUUGGGUCAGUGGUACAGAGAAAUCGUUAAGUUAUCCACCUGGGGAGUACGCCGGCAACGGUG